AGUGAACGCUGGCGGCGUGCCUAAUACAUGCAAGUCGAACGGAGUGGCGCACGGAUGAGUGAUGUAUAGCUAAUCUGCCCUCCACUCGAGGACAACAGUUGGUAACGACUGCUAAUACUCUAUAGUGUAGGAUGAGGCUAUAUUGUAUCAGCUAGUUGGUGAGGUAAUGGCUCACCAAGGCUAUGACGCAUAACUGGUCUGAGAGGAUGAGCAGUAACACUGGAAGUGAGACACGGUCCAGACUCCUACGGGAGGGAGCAGUAGGUAAUAGUGCUAAAGGGGGGAAACCCUGAAGUAGCAACGCCGCGUGGAGGAUGACAAUUGUCGGGGAGGAAACUCCUUUUGUUAGGGAAGCGGUACCUAACGAAUAAGCACCGGCUAACUCCGUGCCAGCAGCCGCGGUAAUUC
rnacentral:rRNA from 1 species